rnacentral:rRNA from 1 species
CCUACGGGUGGCAGCAGUAGGGAAUAUUGCACAAUGGGCGAAACCCUGAAGCAGCAACGCCGCGUGGAGGAUGACGGUCUUCGGAUUGUAAAAUCCUUUUGUUAGAGAAGAUAAUGACUGUAUCUAACGGUUCAGGACCGGCCAAUAUCGAGCCAGCAGCCGCGGUCAUACGGAGGGUGCACGGGUUAGUCGGAAUGAUUGGGCGUAAAGAGAGCGGAGGCGGUUUUGCAAGUAAGAUGUGAAAGCCUAGGGCUUAACCGGAGUACUGCAUUUGACACUGUUAGUCUUGAGUAUGGGAGAGGUAGGUGGAAUUCGUUGUGUAGGGGUGAAAUGCGUAGAUAUGACGAAGAACACUCAUGGCGAAGGCGGCUUGCUAGAACGUAACUGACGCUGAUGCGCGAAAGCGUGGGUAGCAAACAGGAUUAGAUACCCCGGUAGUC